rnacentral:rRNA from 1 species
UACGUAGGGUGCAAGCGUUAAUCGGAAUUACUGGGCGUAAAGCGUGCGCAGGCGGCUUUGCAGGACAGAUGUGAAAUCCCCGGGCUCAACCUGGGAACUGCAUUUGUGACUGCAUGGCUAGAGUGCGGCAGAGGGGGAUGGAAUUCCGCGUGUAGCAGUGAAAUGCGUAGAUAUGCGGAGGAACACCGAUGGCGAAGGCAAUCCCCUGGGCCUGCACUGACGCUCAUGCACGAAAGCGUGGGGAGCAAACAGG